rnacentral:lncRNA from 1 species
GUCACAGUUGAAAUUAACCGUGAGGUAUUUAACACUGAAGUGGACAGAGCAAGUACUUGAAAACUGUUGGACUGAAAGUCUCUUCCCAAACAGAAACACACAUGACUUGCUUGGUGUAAGGUCACGCUCAUCACCAAGGUCCCUGGUUCCUUCAUACAGCUGGGAUGAUGAAACCGAGGCCAAGGCUGUAGGCAUCCUGCUGCGAUGUAACAGAGGGGAGAUACCACGGGCAGGUGGGGAAAACUGGCUUUGGAACAGGCCUCCCAUACAAACCUUACACUGCUUCUGCUCUGGCUGCUCUGGGACAAGUUGGCUCUGUGAAACCAGACCAGCAGACAGAUGAGAGACUGAAAUUUGGGACUGUUUUUAUCCCAAAUGAGGACAUGAGCAGAGAGAAUGGAACUCAGAGCUAACGUACUAGCUGAUGCUAAACCUUCAUGGGGUCUGGAAAACCUUUAGUAUUCUGCUCUGUCCCAUUAGAUGGGAAGUGCAAAAUUUAGUCCUCCGCUCUCCAGGUUAGCGCUGCAUAUGCUGGGCUGUGCUCCUGUUUAACCAGAAAACUUAGCCUGAAUCUGAGGAAGAAAAAAAAUCUUCCCUGAGAUAAACUUCGUAAUAAAAAUGUAUUUCUUUUCCUGACAAAACAAAAUUUUUUCAUGGGGUGAAAACUCCAUCCAAAAACACACAGUAAGAAAGCACAUCACAAGAAUACAGGCGAAGUAGUCAUAAACAAUUAGAAUAGUCACUUGGAGAGGGGCCUGAAAUAGCUAAAUAAAUAAAGCUGCUGUAUUUGUGAUAUGUUGAUUAAUGAUGUGGUAAUAGCUGAGACAUGUCUGUAUUAACUAAUUGGCUUUAAAAAACCUAAGCAGAGCCAGGAUCCUCUUUGGGCUGAAGGGGCAUUUGCAGUUUGCCAGCAAGGCAAACAUUGGGAUCAUACCCAACAGAUCUGGGAAAUCACAGCAAAGCCCAGAAAGCACAUGCCUAAUCCUACCCUUCCUCCAAAAAAAAUUGAUAUAUAUAUAGAUAAAAUGGAGCAGAAAGAAUAUUGCUGCCAUUGGAGAAAGGGUGAAAGACUGAGGUGUCCAAGUCAGGCAGGAGGCCCGUGUCAGAGCCAGGAGCUGAAAUCACCUCUCCUGAGGAUGGUCUUUAAUGUCACUGCCAAGAGUGAUAUUAACCAAGAGCUGACCUCCCUGUGGCUCCUGUUGUGUCAGAUCCCUGUGCUAUGUGGGCCCUGCCAUUUGCAUCCAGCUUCUUUGGUUAAUCAUUUUUGCUCAUCUGCCUUCGGUCUGCUUUCUGAGUGGGAAAACCUCGUCUUGGAGAAAGGAGCUGGCUUUACAGAGGCAGGUGGCCCUAGGAAUUCAGGGGGCUGCUGGAAGCUGGCAGAGGCUGCUCCAUGGAGAAGAGGAGAUGGAGGGGCCGGAAAACAUUCCCCCAGCACCGCUGGCACCCUUACCAGGACAGAUCUGGUGCUGGGGGUCAGGCGGAGAGAUAGUGAGAAGGAUUGGGUUUCGUACAGAACGGGAUUGAGAAAUGGAGAGAGGAAUUAUUUUCCAAAGUUUGUGCAGAGACGAAGCUGUGAGUGCUGCUCCCUGGACUCCCACAUCAUAGCACCAGGACCGCCAGCAGAUUGGUGCCAGCAAUAUUCACAUCUCCCGUAG